CCUACGGGUGGCUGCAGUGGGGGAUAUUGCACAAUGGGGGAAACCCUGAUGCAGCGACGCCGCGUGGGCGAAGAAGUAUUUCGGUAUGUAAAGCCCUAUCAGCAGGGAAGAAGAAAUGACGGUACCUGAGUAAGAAGCACCGGCUAAAUACGUGCCAGCAGCCGCAGUAAUACGUAUGGUGCAAGCGUUAUCCGGAUUUACUGGGUGUAAAGGGAGCGCAGGCGGCACGGCAAGCCUGAUGUGAAAUCCCGCGGCUCAACCGCGGAACUGCAUUUGAAACUGUUUUUCUUGAGUACCGGAGAGGUCAUCGGAAUUCGUUGUGUAGCGGUGAAAUGCAUAGAUAUAAGGAAGAACACCGGUGGCGAAGGCGGAUGACUGGACGGCAACUGACGCUGAGGCACGAAGGCCAGGGGAGCGAAAGGGAUUAGAUACCCCUGUAGUC
rnacentral:rRNA from 1 species